rnacentral:rRNA from 1 species
GACGAACGCUGGCGGGCGUGCCUAAUACAUGCAAGUCGAGCGAGCUUGCCUAGAUGAUUUUGGUGCUUGCACUAAAUGAAACUAGAUACAAGCGAGCGGCGGACGGGUGAGUAACACGUGGGUAACCUGCCCAAGAGACUGGGAUAACACCUGGAAACAGAUGCUAAUACCGGAUAACAACACUAGACGCAUGUUUAGAGUUUGAAAGAUGGUUCUGCUAUCACUCUUGGAUGGACCUGCGGUGCAUUAGCUAGUUGGUAAGGUAACGGCUUACCAAGGCAAUGAUGCAUAGCCGAGUUGAGAGACUGAUCGGCCACAUUGGGACUGAGACACGGCCCAAACUCCUACGGGAGGCAGCAGUAGGGAAUUUUCCACAAUGGACGAAAGUCUGAUGGAGCAACGCCGCGUGAGUGAAGAAGGGUUUCGGCUCGUAAAGCUCUGUUGGUAGUGAAGAAAGAUAGAGUAGUAA